rnacentral:rRNA from 1 species
AGUGGGGAAUAUUGCACAAUGGGGGAAACCCUGAUGCAGCCAUGCCGCGUGUGUGAAGAAGGCCUUCGGGUUGUAAAGCACUUUCAGUAAGGAGGAAAGGGUGUUAGUUAAUACCUAACAUCUGUGACGUUACUUACAGAAGAAGCACCGGCUAACUCCGUGCCAGCAGCCGCGGUAAUACGGAGGGUGCGAGCGUUAAUCGGAAUUACUGGGCGUAAAGCGUGCGUAGGCGGUUUGUUAAGCAAGAUGUGAAAGCCCAGGGCUCAACCUUGGAACUGCAUUUUGAACUGGCAGACUAGAGUAUUGUAGAGGGUGGUGGAAUUUCCAGUGUAGCGGUGAAAUGCGUAGAGAUUGGAAGGAACAUCAGUGGCGAAGGCGGCCACCUGGACAAAUACUGACGCUGAGGUACGAAAGCGUGGGGAGCGAA